rnacentral:rRNA from 1 species
GUGCCAGCGCCGCGGUAAUACGGAGGGUGCAAGCGUUAUCCGGAAUCACUGGGUUUAAAGGGUGCGUAGGCGGCCAGAUAAGUCAGAGGUGAAAGUUUCCGGCUCAACCGGGAGAUUGCCUUUGAUACUGUUUGGCUUGAAUCAGAUUGAGGUUGGCGGAAUGUGACAUGUAGCGGUGAAAUGCAUAGAUAUGUCAUAGAACAUCGAUUGCGAAGGCAGCUGGCUGGAUCUGUAUUGACGCUGAGGCACGAAAGCGUGGGGAGCAAACAGGAUUAGAAACCCGGGUAGUCC